GUCUGUAGAAUAAAUCAGAGAUUGAUUUAUGAGUUAUUGAUUAUGUAAUUGGAGUACUGAGUGAUUGAAUUAUAUGAGGAGUUAUUGGAAGAUUAUGAUUGUUGUUUAUUGAGAGCUGUGUGUAUUUUGGACAAAGGAAGUUGGUGAUUACAUAAAUUCUAAAAAUUGAGAUUGAUUAGAGUGAAGUUUGUUAUUUCUGGUAUUGGAUAGAAAUUAUGUGUUUUGAGCGGUCUUUUGAGAGUGUAGGAUUGCACACUGUUGUUAUCAGUUGAUGAAGGAGUAUUAUUACUGGGAGAAAGCAUUGUAGUAUUUUUUAGUAUUUUAGUGGUUCGGAAUACUGUUAAUUGUAUGACCCUUAUGAGCAAAAUUCAUACAUUUAGUCUUUUCCUAUGUUCGAAUUCUCCUAUACAUGUUU
rnacentral:lncRNA from 1 species